rnacentral:rRNA from 1 species
CAGCCGCCGCGGGAAUACGUAGGGUGCGAGCGUUAAUCGGAAUUACUGGGCGCAAAGCGUGCGCAGGCGGUUUUGUAAGACAGGCGUGAAAUCCCCGGGCUCAACCUGGGAAUGGCGCUUGUGACUGCAAAGCUAGAGUGCGGCAGAGGGGGAUGGAAUUCCGCGUGUAGCAGUGAAAUGCGUAGAUAUGCGGAGGAACACCGAUGGCGAAGGCAAUCCCCUGGGCCUGCACUGACGCUCGUGCACGAAAGCGUGGGGAGCAAAUGGGAUUAGAGACCCGCGUAGUCCCUGUCUCUUAUAC